CCUACGGGAGGCAGCAGUGGGGAAUAUUGGACAAUGGGCGAAAGCCUGAUCCAGCCAUGCCGCGUGUGUGAAGAAGGUCUUCGGAUUGUAAAGCACUUUAAGUUGGGAGGAAGGGUUGUAGAUUAAUACUCUGCAAUUUUGACGUUACCGACAGAAUAAGCACCGGCUAACUCUGUGCCAGCAGCCGCGGUAAUACAGAGGGUGCAAGCGUUAAUCGGAAUUACUGGGCGUAAAGCGCGCGUAGGUGGUUUGUUAAGUUGGAUGUGAAAUCCCCGGGCUCAACCUGGGAACUGCAUCCAAAACUGGCAAGCUAGAGUAUGGUAGAGGGUGGUGGAAUUUCCUGUGUAGCGGUGAAAUGCGUAGAUAUAGGAAGGAACACCAGUGGCGAAGGCGACCACCUGGACUGAUACUGACACUGAGGUGCGAAAGCGUGGGGAGCAAACAGGAUUAGAUACCCUGGUAGUCCACGCCGUAAACGAUGUCAACUAGCCGUUGGGAGCCUUGUAGCUCUUAGUGGCGCGAGCGUACGACGAUUAAGUUAGUACCGCCGUGGGGUAGGUACGGUUCCGGCGUAAGGUUAAACGUUACGUAAAGGAAGUUAGACGGCGUUGAGACGUUGCCGACGGACGACGACGAGGGGAGGAGG
rnacentral:rRNA from 1 species